AAAAUAUGUUCAUGGCAUCCCGUCCAGAACUCGAACUGCAUCCUGUAGCUCUCCUCCUCCCUGUGUCUUCAGCCUCAUUCAUUGAUCUGUGAACAAGAAAAAUCAAAUAAGGUGGAGGUGCUCUUAAGACAACGUCUUGAAGAAACACCUGCAUCGGCCCUGGC